CCAAUAGCGUAUAUUAAAGUUGCUGCAGUUAAAAAGCUCGUAGUUGAAUUUCGGGACUAAUAUGUCGGUCGUGCCUCGGUACGUACUGGUAUUUUUGGUUUCUCCCUUCUGACGAACCUUGAUGUCAUUAAUUUGGUGUCUUGGGGAAUCAGGACUGUUACUUUGAAAAAAUUAGAGUGUUUAAAGCAGGCUCACGCUUGAAUACAUUAGCAUGGAAUAAUGAAAUAGGACGUUUGAUUCUAUUUUGUUGGUUUCUAGGAUCGACGUAAUGAUUAAUAGGGAUAGUUGGGGGCAUUAGUAUUCAAUUGUCAGAGGUGAAAUUCUUGGAUUUAUUGAAGACUAACUACUGCGAAAGCAUUUGCCAAGGAUGUUUUCAUUAAUCAAGAACGAAAGUUAGGGGAUCGAAGACGAUCAGAUACCGUCGUAGUCUUAACCAUAAACUAUGCCGACUAGGGAUCGGAUGAUGUUAAUUUUUUAAUGACUCAUUCGGCGCCUUACG
rnacentral:rRNA from 1 species